UACGUAGGUGGCGAGCGUUGUCCGGAUUUACUGGGCGUAAAGAGCGCGCAGGCGGCUGGUCAAGUCCGAUGUGAAAGCUCCCGGCUUAACUGGGAAAUUGCAUCGGAAACUGAUCGGCUGGAAGGUGGGAGAGGGUAGCGGAAUUCCCGGUGUAGUGGUGAAAUGCGUAGAGAUCGGGAGGAACACCAGUGGCGAAGGCGGCCUUCUGGACCAAUACUGACGCUCAUGCACGAAAGCGUGGGGAGCAAACAGG
rnacentral:rRNA from 1 species